rnacentral:rRNA from 1 species
GCGAGUGAACCGGGAAGAGCUCAAAUUUGAAAUCUGGCAGUCUUCGAUUGUCCGAGUUGUAAUCUAUAGAAGCGUUUUCCGUGCUGAACUGUGUAUAAGUCCCUUGGAACAGGGUAUCAAAGAGGGUGACAAUCCCGUACUUUACACAAUCAUCAGUGCUCUGUGAUACGUUCUCUACGAGUCGAGUUGUUUGGGAAUGCAGCUCAAAAUGGGUGGUAAAUUCCAUCUAAAGCUAAAUAUUGGCGAGAGACCGAUAGCGAACAAGUACCGUGAGGGAAAGAUGAAAAGCACUUUGGAAAGAGAGUUAAACAGUACGUGAAAUUGUUGAAAGGGAAACGAACGCUACGUAUCAUGUUUAUUGGACUCAGCCGAUCUUCGGUGUACUUCCUUUAAACGGGUCAACAUCAGUUUUGUCCGAUGGAUAAAGGUAGUAGGAAGGUGGCUCUCUCGGGAGUGUUAUAGCCUAUUGCCGCAUACAUUGGAUGAGACUGAGGACUGCAGCUUGCCUUUAUGGCCGGGGUUCGCCCACGUUCAAGCUUAGGAUGUUGACAUAUACUCGAGCGCACGCCCC